rnacentral:rRNA from 1 species
UGGGGAAUUUUGGACAAUGGGCGAAAGCCUGAUCCAGCAAUGCCGCGUGUGUGAAGAAGGCCUUCGGGUUGUAAAGCACUUUUGUCCGGAAAGAAAUCCUUGGCUCUAAUACAGUCGGGGGAUGACGGUACCGGAAGAAUAAGCACCGGCUAACUACGUGCCAGCAGCCGCGGUAAUACGUAGGGUGCAAGCGUUAAUCGGAAUUACUGGGCGUAAAGCGUGCGCAGGCGGUUUGCUAAGACCGAUGUGAAAUCCCCGGGCUCAACCUGGGAACUGCAUUGGUGACUGGCAGGCUAGAGUAUGGCAGAAGGGGGUAGAAUUCCACGUGUAGCAGUGAAAUGCGUAGAGAUGUGGAGGAAUACCGAUGGCGAAGGCAGCCCCCUGGGCCAAUACUGACGCUCAUGCACGAAAGCGUGGGGAGCAAACAGGAUUAGAUACCCUGGUAGUCCACGCCCUAAACGAUGUCAACUAGUUGUUGGGGAUUCAUUUCCUUAGUAACGUAGCUAACGCGUGAAGUUGACCGCCUGGGGAGUACGGUCGCAAGAUUAAAACUCAAAGGAAUUGAC